rnacentral:lncRNA from 1 species
CCUUUCCCUUAACUUGUGCUGCCUUUUCUUUUUCCAUACUGCGUAUUGUAAUUUUGUCACACCAUACGUUUAGCACAGCUUCUGGUUUCUGUUUCCCUGUGACAGGAUAAAAGCCCCCCAGGGGCAGGGAUACUGGUUCUCUGAUGUAUCCUAAGUGCUUGGAAUAGCACCCAAUGCAUAGUAGGGACACAAUAGUAUUUGCUGAUUAAAGAAUGAACGGAUGUUGUGCCGGGGAAGACAAAGAUAGAGAAAGAUGGCCGUGUUGGCAGUUUGAAAGCUGAUACAACACAAAAAGCAAUGUGGAACUGUAAAUAAGAACAGCAUGAAUCAAAGAGACAGAAUGCUGCGAGAUGUGAUUACGGUAUCCAGAGUUCCAUCUGAACCUAUUGGGUUUACAUUCAUCUUUUCAGGCACGUGUAGAUACGUGAAAUGUCGGAUCCAGCUCUGAGGAUUUGAACCAUAGACCAGAUCUCUGGAGAGGAGACAGAUGUUCAAAGACAAAUUUCAGUAAAUCAUUCAGUGUGAAGUAUGAGCCUCAAGUCAAAUUCUGCCAGUGGAACUGAUGAGAGGUGGCGAAUGACUCAAAUGGAGGAGAAGAGAGAUUGGCAAGCUGGAGUGGGUUUGUGGAAAGGACUUCAUGUGAGUCCAGAUCAAGAAGCAAAAUGAAAAGAAUGAAAUUCUUGGACGGUUCUGUUUACAAGUUAAAACCUACAAUUUACCCCUAGAGGGCGCUCUUCACUUUGUUAUCUCUCAGAAGCCUUGCC